rnacentral:rRNA from 1 species
CGGGAGAAUUGCUAGCUUGCUAUAAUUCUCUAGUGGCGCACGGGUGAGUAACACGUGAGUAACCUGCCCCCAAGAGUGGGAUAGCCCCGGGAAACUGGGAUUAAUACCGCAUAAAAUCGCAAGAUUAAAGCAGCAAUGCGCUUGGGGAUGGGCUCGCGUCCUAUUAGUUAGUUGGUGAGGUAACGGCUCACCAAGGCGAUGACGGGUAGCCGGUCUGAGAGGAUGUCCGGCCACACUGGAACUGAGACACGGUCCAGACACCUACGGGUGGCAGCAGUCGAGAAUCAUUCACAAUGGGGGAAACCCUGAUGGUGCGACGCCGCGUGGGGGAAUGAAGGUCUUCGGAUUGUAAACCCCAGUCAUGUGGGAGCAAAUUAAAAAGAUAGUACCACAAGAGGAAGAGACGGCUAACUCUGUGCCAGCAGCCGCGGUAAUACAGAGGUCUCAAGCGUUGUUCGGAAUCACUGGGCGUAAAGCGUGCGUAGGCGGUUUCGUAAGUCGUGUGUGAAAGGCGGGGGCUCAACCCCCGGACUGCACAUGAUACUGCGAGACUAGAGUAAUGGAGGGGGAACCGGAAUUCUCGGUGUAGCAGUGAAAUGCGUAGAUAUCGAGAGGAACACUCGUGGCGAAGGCGGGUUCCUGGACAUUAACUGACGCUGAGGCACGAAGGCCAGGGGAGCGAAAGGGAUUAGAUACCCCUGUAGUCCUGGCA